GUGCUCACUUCCGCAGCACAUAUGCUCAAAUUGGGAUGAUACAGAGAAGAUUGGCAUUUUCACAAUAAUCUCAAAAAGUAAAAAAAAAAAAUUAAAUAAUUUU
ensembl:snRNA U6 U6 spliceosomal RNA